AGCCAAUCCAUCAUGGAAAGCGUUAGGAAUUGUUUGAUUAUAUUCUUUGACACAUACAAUAUUUUCAGCGAUGAACUCACCCAAUAUCAUUACAAGGCCUAUGAAUAUCCGAAAACAACACAUUUGUCCUAAGUAUACCCAGUCAGUGUUAGUUUUGUCAUUACAAGCACAACAACAGAAAAUCCGAAUGAUGUAUGACGUAAUAUCUGCCAUGUCCGUAAAAGACAAAUCACCCAUUGUAUCUGAAUGAACACCAAAAGUGCUCGGUAAAAAUAUAUUUCAAACAUCUUGUAUCUAAAGCUCUUUGAUUACUCUUCACAACAAGGGCUGAUAAUAAUGAGGUCCUUUCUCAGUAUUGAUCAAUUCUAAGUCCAUGCAAACCAGGACUUUAAUAACAACGC
rnacentral:lncRNA from 1 species